CAAAGGGAAUGAUAGUUGCUUUUGAGAAAGGUAAAUCAGUGAGCUUGAAAGAGAAGCAGUUCUUGAAUUACAUUGUUGCUAAUGGGCGAAAUAGAUGUUGACAAGUACCCAUUAGAGUUUGUCAGCUACCUUUGUCACUCUUGCCAUAAAGACAAACAUCAAAUACACCUGCACAGAAGCCAUGAAACUGGAGAUAUAUUAAGCACCAUAUAUGUUGCUAGCUUGGAAGCUUAAUAGCUUGAUUUGCUUAAAUUAUCUACAUACCAAGUUGUACUUAAUUUGUAAACAAAGUGGGUAAUGCUGCAAAACUUUUGGCUGUACAGAUACAGUUUGUAAUAACUCACUCCUUGUUGUUGUAACAUUUGAACAAGAAAACUGAAUUGCUAUGCAACAUUAUUGUCUAUUAAUAUGCU